CUCAGGGAUGGGCGGGUGACAGUCGUGGGUCCGCAUCGCUCACUUGCGGGAGGAAACGGAUUAAAAAGCCCCCUUUCUUCUCUGCCUCAGCACCACACCACCUCUGAGUCAGCAAUCUCGGAGAAGUGGACCUUUUCCCCAGUUUUGUUGAUCCUGACGCGAUCUCAUUUUUCAGAAGCUUAAUGUAUUCUUUCAUGAAUUGUCUGAGGAGCCAACCUGUGCUCCAGUCAACGUUCUCUGAUGGGCACGUGCUCGAUGUCAGGUCACAUCACGAAGACCUCCCCCGCCUCUUCUCCUGCCAGCCCUCAGGAGGACUCCUCCCAAACAUCAGGAUGCGGAGUUGCGACAGAAGCUAUCUCUGGCUAUCUGGGGUAGAAAAGGAAUUUAAUAAAGGGCAUUUCGGAGUCAGAGAAUCCUCAUGAGGGACAGAGGACUUGGACUUGGAGGCAGCUCAGCCAGGAAGAACGCCCACAGCGGCCUGCAGAACCGCUCCGGGGGACCACCAGUGUCCCCCUCAAGACCCCGACCCUGUAGCUUGUGGCACCUGCAUCACCAUGUGGGCUUGGGACACUGUCCUGAAGCCCCUGUAGCUGCUGCCUCCAGAGCCCAGACGGGGCCCCCACUUCACCCGCCGGAGUGGACUCUUGCAGCGUCUCCUUGUCUCACCAGGAGGAAUCCCAGGAUCUGCUGUGGAUGCCGGACUGUGGCUGUCCUUGAGCCACCCGAGAGCCUAGGAGGAUGAGCCUUCUAUGGUCGAUGACAGAGACUUACAACAUGGAGAAUCCCUCAUGUCUAGAAAGGAUGGGAAAAGGGGUUGAGCAGCCAGAAGAAAUGCCAAGUGUCCCCCAGGAGGCUUGGGGACGGGCACCCCAUAUUAUGAUAUCUUUGGAUCUUCUGAAACUUCAUGUUCCAUCCAGUGCAGGCAACUGAGUCCCUCCUUACCCCCGCACUACCCCCAGGGUUCCACAUGCAAAACUUCCCUCUGAGAUGCUCUCCGUCUUCUGCCUGUCAAAACCCUGCUGGUCCAGGCGACACCCCGUUAAAAGUCAUGCUUAAAAUACACCCCAGAUUCUGAAGUUUCAAACUGUCUUUGGUAAGAAAACAUCAACUUGCCUUCUGCUUCUUUCUUGCUAGAUUUAGAAGGAGACAUUUGGCCCAUUCUCCUAGGAAGGAUGACUUUCACCAGGACGGAAGACAAAUAUUCUAAAACAGACGCAUUCGCUGUCUUCCUGGUGCUUAGAAUCUUAAGAAAAUGUUUGCUUCGGGAAUGAAUAGAAACUUCUUCCUUAACCGAGAAUUCUUCCAGCCAUCCCUCAGCUACUUUUCCUGCACCUGAAUGAUGGAGCCCUGUGGAGAAAAAUCGCCUAAUGGUGUUGAUUGAUGUCUUGACAAGUGUAGAAAGAUGUGAACAUGUUUUGAUAGGUACACUCAACUUGUUUGACUUUGUCUUUGCUACACUGGGUGGCGCCUCCCAGAAAUGGUGAUCAGACGGUUGUGUAUCCCAGGAACAGAGCUGGAGGGGGGAAGACAUCAUUUCCUAGCGUUGGCAAUUGCCAAGUCCUUUCAACAGGCGGCCGAGCCCCACCUCAAGGCAGGUAGGGAGGGGCUUCUGCUUCUACUCUCUUCAGUUGGGCCAAUCACCCUGAAAACUUCCAAAACUGGCCUGAGUGGUCCCCUCCAUUACAAAAUAUACCCUGGAAAAAAUAACCAAAAGAAAUGUGUCAACACUUAUUAGUGGUUGCCCUUGGGAGGUUGGAGUCAUGGGCUAUCGUAAGUGCUUUGUGUUUUUAAAAUUUUUCUGUCCCUCGCUUGUCCCACCUGGGAUUACAUUUAGUUAAUGUUUUACCUUAUUACACCCUGCCAGGGCCACCCGUGGUUGUGCGCCCAUCCUCUGUUGAACUCUCUUAUUUCAAGCCGUGACCAGCCAGCGGCUCACACAGGUUAGGUACUCAACCAAUGUUCACAGAACUGAAUUCUCAUUUUUUGUUUUCUUUCACCAAGGAAGACUUACCUUAUCAGAAUAAUGGUCUCCACUGCCACUUGUUUCUAGGAAAUUAAAUCAGUUGGGACUUGGCAUAUCCUUGAGGAAAUGGAGGCCGAAAUUUUUCCCAAACUCCACCCCUGGAGGGCCCCAUUCUCGCAAGCUUCGGGGUAAUCCUCGCAGAAACUUCCAUGACGCUCUUCCAGAUCAGAGUUUUAUUAGGUGAUAACUGGGGGGUGAGAAGUGGGAGAAUAUGAUUCUGACAGUAGAAAUGCUGACUAUAAAAAAAUGUAAGUUUGCUCUGUGACCCAGAGACCUCCCCUAGAGAUGCAUUCUACGGAUCUGCCCACAUAGGCACUAAGGAUAUAUAAGCAAAGGUGUCUUCUGCAAGGUUGCUUCAAAGACUUUAAAAACUGGAUACAACCUCCUUCUCUGGAUAAAUAAAGGACAGUACAUCCAUGUAAACAAUGGAACAUUCUCCGGUGGUUAUAAAGAAUGAGGUAGAUCUAUAGGUAUUGAAAUGGAAAGAUCACUAUGGCAAUUGCUAACUGGAAAAAGCAACAUAUCAAUACAUAGAUUAUGAUUCCAUUAGGUAAAAGUAAUAAAAGCUAAUGGUUUCUUUUUAAAUUUCCCAUGUACAUAGGAAAUGUCUAAAGUAUACACAUUGACAUGUGAACAGUGGUGACUUCUGGAGAAGGAAGAGGAUUUUCUAGAAGGGAUAAAAAGGGACAUGUUUACCUCCACGUUACAAAUGAAAUCACGAAAUAUUAGUUGUUUGAAUCCUUAUUAGAGCCUACAUUUCUAUGUUAAUGUGUCAUUAUAAACGUUUUUUUUUUAAAGAUUUGUAAUUUCAGGCCAACGUUAGAAUUCACAAACAUGUUUAGAUGAAGACUUCUGGAGAACACCGUGGAAACCCAUUUAUUAACCUUGAAAUAACAAAAUUUUGCAUGUCUGCUUUAUGUCAAUAUCUUAUUAAACUAUAGCCUUAAACGGUAGCAGCUUAAGGAAAUUGUAAUGCAGUGAAAUAAAUUGAGAAAACCCUA